UGCAGAAAAUGAGACAUAAUGGGCGGAUCUGAAGGCGGGAUAACUGUAAAUGCAAGUGGAUAGUAUUGGCUAAUUCAGAAUUUCAACGAAUGAGAUUAUUGUUACUCUAUGACAAUCAAAAACUCACCUGUCCAAUUACCAACGUUUGACGUUGUCUAUCAAGUGUAACUUUAACCAGUCGAUUCACAGUUCGUGAUCCCUACCGCUUUGAGGUUCCGCUUUAUAGUUAUCUCUUAAAUAACCUGCCGUUGUACCAAGCGACGAAACUCCAUUAAACGAAAAGAGACAAAAAAAAAAAGAAGCUGCGGUGAUGAAACUCCAUUAGACAAAAGAAGAAGAAGCGACGAAAUUAAUUGCUCGUAUUUUUGACAAUGGAAUUUGCUACAAGAAUAUCUUCUGGAAAUUGGAUGUUAAUGAAAAUCAGAACAUCCCUGCUGGUUCAGUAGACUGUGGAAUAGACACGUUGAUGAAGAGCAGGCUGGCUGUGUGGCUGAAGUGGGGCAGCUGACUUGAGAACAAGGGGCUCGGGUCUUUGUGGCUGCAGAGAUCAGCAGGGCAUCCAGGAGGACUCAACAUGAAAAACUUGGAGUUCAUCAUAAAGGGCCAUGGAGCAGAUAAUCACUUGCUGGCUGUUGUAUCUGAAAAGGUGUCAUCCAAAUGGUUUAAAAAUGAUGAAGAUCCUAAAAGUCACCGGGUAAUGAUCUCUACACAGUAGAAGAUGACGAGCUGACAGAUGGCCUCUACAACUACAUGAUGAAGUGCUGUCAACAGCUGUAGGCACUUUUGAAAAGAUCAACACCCCGAGUUCACAUCAUUGUGGAUGUGCUGAUGCUGGAGGCUCAUUUGGUUUCAGUGAAUCUCUGAGCACAGAAAGUGUCUCCAUGAGUAAGAAGAAGAAGGUCUGUUCAUUGAUGGACCAGCAGACGGUGAGUGGGACGUCAUGUGGUGUUGGGGGGUAGACGGUUCUUUCUUUUUCUUUUCAGCACCAUCAUUCUGUUAAUCAGAAUACCAUUUUACUUGUAGUGAAUUUAGACAAGAAUAUAAGCUAAAUACAUAUAAAUGUAAAUAUAUAUGUUUAAAGUGAAAUUUUAAAUAUGCAUUAAUACAUUUUUAGUAUUGGUAAAAGUAAAUCUUUUUUUUUUUUUUUUAAGUGAGUGAAGAGUUUGACACACUUGAGCUUCAACUGUUGGAGUACCAAAGACAGACAGCAUCACUGAGGUUUCUCAACUUGGGAUUCCAUCUCAGCGCCUCCUCUGAUAAACGCGUCACUGGCUUUAUUGGUCUUUGGCCUUUUUUAUUUCUGAAUGUUAAACUGACUGUGCAUAAUAGAGUUGUUUAGAUUUGAUUUAACUAUUGCUGUAAAUAAUAUAAGGACACUUUGUUGAUUAAGUUCUGCAUAUUUGAAAUUGUCUGUGUAUCUGUUUUUAGCCAAUUCAUGCCAUCUGCAUUU